CAAGUGAACUGCAUAGAUUCAACCAGGUCAACUACACAGAGGCACCACCAUUUGCGCUUCUCGCUUGGCACUAUAGAGAGACGAGGGGCCCUGCGACAGAAAAAAAAGCGCCUAAGUACAUGAACCAAAUACAGAUUUAAGGCAUUCAGUCUGUCGUGCACACAGAACUCACCGAAGUAUGCAUGGACUGGCAGUCGUGACUGCAAACAAAACUGCGAACAUGAAUGACCAAUCACCUCGGCCUGAAAUUGUCCUGGACUGCAGCAAGCUGCAGCAAGAGACGUGGUUAAAACACAGAAAGGACCUGGUACUCCUCAAGGCUCGUACUGUACAUGGCGACGCGCUCAGCCGCCGCACGGUCGGCUGGUCUUGCGUGUUCGUGGCUGUCGGAACGUGCUUUCUCGCCGGCGGAGGUGCCAUGCUCGUGCUUUCGCUUACAAUGGAGGCCCGCAUGUACAGCCUCAGUGAAAAGUACAACUUACACACAACGGCUCAAGGCGCCGCAAUCCUCAGCAUGGGCCUCGCUUUCAUUAUUGCGGCACUCGUCAAGAGCUACUACCAUGGCCACGCCUGAUCGAAAUGCUGGUGUCGAAGGAACGUCCAUGUGCGAUGAUCUUGUCGGUAGCUAAACUUCUUCCAUUCCUACCAGGAAUAAGACAGUGUGUCGGACCC